rfam:Flavobacteriia bacterium 40-80 scnpilot_p_inoc_scaffold_25, whole genome shotgun sequence.
UGCGCUUGGGUAGGCUCUAUACGACCAGCUCCUUCUGAAUCCUCCAGGACGGAAACGUAGCAAAGGUAAGAGGUUGAGCGGUGCGAUGUGGUAGCCUGCCCUUUU